UUUGCUUUACCUAAACUACACUUCAUCCUUAUUAAAAAAAAUCAGUUAAACAUGUAUGAAUUAGAUUUAAACAAAGUUUAUUGCGACUUUCUCUUGUCACAAAUAGGUUCCAAAAAAACUCAAACUAUAGACUUCCUAGAAUAUAAAUAUAUUCCAUUUUGUUGGCAUCCAAAGAUCUUACCAAAAUGGGAAACCCCUCACCAAGGAUCUUACAAGAUCAACACGGGUGCUGUCUGUGAGAGGAAUGAACACAAACCUUUUACAUACGGAGUCAACCUUAUUAGAAAGAUUCCAAUCUCAACAGAUUAA